rnacentral:rRNA from 1 species
UACGGUGGGUGCGAGCGUUGUCCGGAAUCACUGGGCGUAAAGGGCGCGUAGGUGGUCUUGUAAGGGUGUGGUGAAAGCCCGGGGCUCAACCCCGGGUCGGCCGUGCCGACUGCGAGACUAGAGUGCUGUAGGGGCAGGCGGAAUUCCGGGUGUAGCGGUGGAAUGCGUAGAGAUCCGGAGGAAGACCGGUGGCGAAGGCGGCCUGCUGGGCAGAUACUGACACUGAGGCGCGACAGCGUGGGGAGCAAACAGG